rnacentral:rRNA from 1 species
CCUACGGGUGGCUGCAGUAGGGAAUAUUGGGCAAUGGACGAAAGUCUGACCCAGCCAUGCCGCGUGCAGGAUGACUGCCCUAUGGGUUGUAAACUGCUUUUCUAUGGGAAGAAACACUCAUACGUGUAUGAACUUGACGGUACCAUAGGAAUAAGGAUCGGCUAACUCCGUGCCAGCAGCCGCGGUAAUACGGAGGAUCCAAGAGUUGUCCGGAUUCAUGGGUGUGAAGGGGGACGUAGAAGUCAUAGGUGAAAUCUUGCGGCUCAACCGUAAAAUUGCCUUGUAAACUGGUAGUCUUGAGUUCGGUCGAGGUGGAUGGAAUGUGUCAUGUAGCGGUGAAAUGCUUAGAUAUGACCCAGAACACCAAUUGCGAAGGCAGUUCACUAGACCGAUACUGACGCUGAGGCACGAAAGCGUGGGGAGCGAACAGGAUUAGAUACCCGAGUAGUC